rnacentral:tRNA from 1 species
CGCCGGGCUAGCUCAAUCGGUAGAGCGUAAGACUCUUAAUCUUAAGGCUGCGGGUUCGACCCCC